rnacentral:tRNA from 1 species
UCCUCUGAGGUGACAAAUUUGGAAAGCAUACCGGAUUCUCCUUAAGUAUCUGAAAUACGUGUAAAGCUUGCGGUUCCAGAGGUUGUGGGUUCGAGCCCCACCAGAGGAU